rnacentral:rRNA from 1 species
CAGUAGCCGCGGUAAUACAGAGGGUGCGAGCGUUAAUCGGAUUUACUGGGCGUAAAGCGUGCGUAGGCGGCUUUUUAAGUCGGAUGUGAAAUCCCUGAGCUUAACUCAGGAAUUGCAUUCGAUACUGGGAAGCUAGAGUAUGGGAGAGGAUGGUAGAAUUCCAGGUGUAGCGGUGAAAUGCGUAGAGAUCUGGAGGAAUACCGAUGGCGAAGGCAGCCAUCUGGCCUAAUACUGACGCUGAGGUACGAAAGCAUGGGGAGCAAACAGGAUUAGAUACCCCCGUAGUCCCUGUCUCUUAUAA